GGGGAAUAUUGCGCAAUGGGGGGAACCCUGACGCAGCAACGCCGCGUGAAGGAUGAAGGCCUUCGGGUUGUAAACUUCUUUGAUUGGGGAAGAAAUUUGACGGUACCCAAAGAACAAGCCACGGCUAGACUACGUGCCAGCAGCCGCGGUAAUACGUAGAGGGCAAGCGUUGUCCGGAAUCACUGGGCGUAAAGGGUACGUAGGCGGAUAUAUAAGUCAAAUGUGAAAGGCACCGGCUUAACCGGUGAGCUGCAUUUGAAACUGUAUAUCUUGAGUUCAGGAGAGGAGAGUGGAAUUCCUGGUGUAGCGGUGGAAUGCGUAGAUAUCAGGAAGAACACCAGUGGCGAAGGCGGCUCUCUGGCCUGAAACUGACGCUCAGGUACGAAAGCUGGGGUAGCAAACG
rnacentral:rRNA from 1 species